CAAGACGAUGGACAGACGUGAAGUUGGCUGUGUCUCAUUAAUGUAUCCUGUUUUCAGCCUAAAGACAAAGCUGUAACUCAGAAGGAACCCAAAAAGAGGAUCAAGGUCUUGCUUCAACUGAUGCAAGUGAGAGGAAACGCUGUGCCGCCUUCUGUACACACUAUUUCCUCACACUCAACUGCACAAUGUGUAACAGACGAAGACUAUGACUGACAAGAGCUCACUCCGUUCAUGCCGUUGAAACGUGCCAACGUGCUGAAACCAAUGUACAGAGUGAACUCUCUUCCUGUUUGGAGGUGGGAGAUGAGGAACACAGACACCCAUGCGCAUAGCAAUAUAUUGAAGCUGGCAAAAUGACCAAUUUUUUUUAUUUAUU